AACUAUUAGGUCUGAUUGAACUGGAAAAUGGAGACGCAGAGAGUAUUGCCAAGUGCCUAUUGUCCGAAUUAAUAAAACGGAAAAUUCCGGUUAAAAACCUUUUUGGCAUUGGAACAGAUAAUGCCAGUGUAAUGGUGGGUAAUAAGAAAAGUGUUUUUGUCGAAUUGAAGAAGGUUGUACCGUCCUUAGUAUUAAUAAAAUGUGUGUGCCAUUCGGUACAAUUGGCGGUGAAUGCAGCAUGCAAAAAAGCACUGCCAAUGUCGCUUGAAUUUAUUGUCAGCGAAACCUAUUCUUGGUUCGCAAAAAGUUCAAGUAGACAGAUGGCUUACAAAAGAUUGUACGAAGCCAUAAAUAAUGAUAAGAUUAUUAAUUUGUGUACCUGUUUUAUAUAUUAACCACGUACUAAAUAUAUGCGUUGUCCUGAAACUUGUCCCAAGAACCCCUUCAGAUUCCCAGGGUGUGCGAUACGA